GCUUGUCGACGAAUUCAGAUUAACGCGAAGAACCUUACCUGGUCUUGACAUCCAAUGAACUUUCUAGAGAUAGAUUGGUGCCUUCGGGAACAUUGAGACAGGUGCUGCAUGGCUGUCGUCAGCUCGUGUUGUGAAAUGUUGGGUUAAGUCCCGCAACGAGCGCAACCCUUGAUCUUAGUUGCCAGCAUUCAGUUGGGCACUCUAAGGUGACUGCCGGUGACAAACCGGAGGAAGGUGGGGAUGACGUCAAGUCAUCAUGCCCCUUAUGACCUGGGCUACACACGUGCUACAAUGGGCAGAACAAAGGGCAGCGAAGCCGCGAGGCUAAGCCAAUCCCACAAACCUGUUCUCAGUUCGGAUCGCAGUCUGCAACUCGACUGCGUGAAGCUGGAAUCGCUAGUAAUCGCGGAUCAGCAUGCCGCGGUGAAUACGUUCCCGGGCCUUGUACACACCG
rnacentral:rRNA from 1 species